AUUGAACGCUGGCGGCAGGCCUAACACAUGCAAGUCGAGCGAGCGGCGGACGGGUGAGUAAUGUCUGGGAAACUGCCUGAUGGAGGGGGAUAACUACUGGAAACGGUAGCUAAUACCGCAUACCAUCAGAUGUGCCCAGAUGGGUUUGGCUAGUAGUGGGGGUAACGGCUCACCUAGGCGACGAUCCCUAGCUGGUCUGAGAGGAUGACCAGCCACACUGGAAUUGAGACACGGUCCAGACUCCUAGGGGAGGCAGCAGUGGGGAAUAUUGCACAAGGGGGGCAGGCCUGAGGCAGCCAGGCCGCGUGUGUGAAGAAGGCCUCCGGUUUGUAAAGCACGUUCAGCGGGGAGGCGUUACCCGCAGAAGAAGCACCGGCUAACUCCGUGCCAGCAGCCGCGGUAAUUC
rnacentral:rRNA from 1 species